rnacentral:sRNA from 1 species
GUUAAUCCUGAUGCACAGAACUGGGAAUAGGCCAGAUGCCACAUUAAUCAAUUUAAGAAUGCUGGAGCUUCGCAGAAUACUGCAUGAACAACGAGAACCGCGGCCCUGAAAGACUCAAAACCCUACAGUAUAUGAAACUAUUGCAGGAUGUGUGGAUGUUCAAAGGAAUAACAGACUUGGAAGCAAUGCUUACUGGAUUUUGAUGUGUUAAAGGGUGUCAAGUCCAAGAGAGAGAUAAGGUCUCAGAAGACAGGACUAGAACCAUGGGGCCGCUGUGCUCGCUGUGGAGAAAACGUAGUUGGGGAAGGUACAGGAUGCACUGCCAUGGAUCAGGUCUUCCACGUGGAUUGUUUUACCUGCAUUAUCUGCAACAACAAGCUCCGAGGGCAGCCAUUCUAUGCUGUGGAAAAGAAAGCAUACUGCGAGCCCUGCUACAUUAAUACUCUGGAGCAGUGCAAUGUGUGUUCCAAGCCCAUCAUGGAGCGGAUUCUCCGAGCCACCGGGAAGGCCUAUCAUCCUCACUGUUUCACCUGCGUGAUGUGCCACCG